GUUUUAUUCUGGCUCAGAUUGAACGCUGGCGGCAGGCCUAACACAUGCAAGUCGAGCGGAAACGGCAGCAAUGUAGCUUCGGUGGAUUUGCUGGACGUCGAGCGGCGGACGGGUGAGUAACGGCUGGGAACCUGCCCUGACGAGGGGGAUAACCGUUGGAAACGACGGCUAAUACUGCAUAAUGUCUACGGACCAAAGGUGGCCUCUACAUGUAAGCUAUCGCGUUGGGAUGGGCCCAGUUAGGAUUAGCUAGUUGGUAAGGUAAUGGCUUACCAAGGCGACGAUCCUUAGCUGGUUUGAGAGGAUGAUCAGCCACACUGGGACUGAGACACGGCCCAGACUCCUACGGGAGGCAGCAGUGGGGAAUAUUGCACAAUGGGGGAGACCCUGAUGCAGCCAUGCCGCGUGUGUGAAGAAGGCCUUCGGGUUGUAAAGCACUUUCAGCAGUGAGGAAGGUGGUGUACUUAAUACGUGCAUUGCUUGACGUUAGCUGCAGAAGAAGCACCGGCUAACUCCGUGCCAGCAGCCGCGGUAAUACGGAGGGUGCGAGCGUUAAUCGGAAUUACUGGGCGUAAAGCGCAUGCAGGCGGUUUGUUAAGUCAGAUGUGAAAGCCCGGGGCUCAACCUCGGAACCGCAUUUGAAACUGGCAGGCUAGAGUCUUGUAGAGGGGGGUAGAAUUUCAGGUGUAGCGGUGAAAUGCGUAGAGAUCUGAAGGAAUACCAGUGGCGAAGGCGGCCCCCUGGACAAAGACUGACGCUCAGAUGCGAAAGCGGUGGGUAGCAAACAGGAUUAGAUACCCUGGUAGUCCACGCCGUAAACGCUGUCUACUUGGAGGUUGAGGUUUAAGACUUUGGCUUUCGGCGCUAACGCAUUAAGUAGACCGCCUGGGGAGUACGGCCGCAAGGUUAAAACUCAAAUGAAUUGACGGGGGCCCGCACAAGCGGUGGAGCAUGUGGUUUAAUUCGAUGCAACGCGAAGAACCUUACCUACUCUUGACAUCCAGAGAACUUUCCAGAGAUGGAUUGGUGCCUUCGGGAACUCUGAGACAGGUGCUGCAUGGCUGUCGUCAGCUCGUGUUGUGAAAUGUUGGGUUAAGUCCCGCAACGAGCGCAACCCUUAUCCUUGUUUGCCAGCACGUAAUGGUGGGAACUCCAGGGAGACUGCCGGUGAUAAACCGGAGGAAGGUGGGGACGACGUCAAGUCAUCAUGGCCCUUACGAGUAGGGCUACACACGUGCUACAAUGGCAGAUACAGAGGGCAGCGAAGCUGCGAAGUGGAGCGAAUCCCUUAAAGUCUGUCGUAGUCCGGAUUGGAGUCUGCAACUCGACUCCAUGAAGUCGGAAUCGCUAGUAAUCGUGGAUCAGAAUGCCACGGUGAAUACGUUCCCGGGCCUUGUACACACCGCCCGUCACACCAUGGGAGUGGGCUGCACCAGAAGUAGAUAGCUUAACCUUCGGGAGGGCGUUUACCACGGUGUGGUUCAUGACUGGGGUGAAGUCGUACAAGGGGUAAACCACAAUGAGGGUUUGAUCCUGGCCUCAGAAAGUAGGUAACAAGGGUAACCAUAGAGUUUGAUCCUGGCUCAGAAAGCCCCACUAGCUAACCACAUAAAAGAAA
rnacentral:rRNA from 1 species